UGAGGAAUAUUGGUCAAUGGGGGCAACCCUGAACCAGCGACGCCGCGUGAAGGAUGACAGGGCUUUGCCCCGUAAACUUCUGUCGGGAGGGAAAAAAGGACUGUUUGGCGGUCUGGGAUUGUACCUCUAAAGGAAGCACCGGCUAACUACGUGCCAGCAGCCGCGGUAAUACGUAGGGUGCAAACGUUGUCCGGAAUUACUGGGUGUAAAGGGUGCACAGGCGGUUUUGUGCGUCAGAGGUAAAAUCCCACAGCUCAACUGUGGACCUGCCUUUGAUAUGGCAAGACUUGAGUAUAAGAGAGGAUGAUAGAAUUCCUGGUGUAGCGGUGAAAUGCGUAGAUAUCAGGAGGAAUACCAGUGGCGAAGGCGGUCAUCUGGCUUGUAACUGACGCUUAAGCACGAAAGCAUGGGUAGCGAACA
rnacentral:rRNA from 1 species